AACGCGAAGAACCUUACCUACUCUUGAAUCCACGGAAUCCUGCAGAGAUGCGGGAGUGCCUUCGGGAACCGUGAGACAGGUGCUGCAUGGCUGUCGUCAGCUCGUGUCGUGAGAUGUUGGGUUAAGUCCCGUAACGAGCGCAACCCUUGUCCUUAGUUACUAACGCGUAAAGGCGAGGACUCUAAGGAGACUGCCGGUGAUAAACCGGAGGAAGGUGGGGACGAUGUCAAGUCAUCAUGGCCCUUACGAGUAGGGCUACACACGUGCUACAAUGGUCGGUACAAAAGGCAGCGAAAUCGCGAGAUGGAGCAAAUCCUGAAAAGCCGAUCGUAGUCCGGAUUGGAGUCUGCAACUCGACUCCAUGAAGCUGGAAUCGCUAGUAAUCGUGGAUCAGAACGCCACGGUGAAUACGUUCCCGGGCCUUGUACACACCGUACGUC
rnacentral:rRNA from 1 species